GCCUAUUGGCUACAGAUCACGGAGCGGGGCGGGGCUGCGCGUGCGCACAGCCCCGGCGUGCCCUUGACGGCGGUUGAAAGAUGGCGACUGUCACCGAGCUGAAGGCCGUUUUAAAGGACACCUUGGAAAAAAGAGGCGUGUUAGGGCAUUUAAGAGCGAGGAUUCGAGCUGAGGUUUUCAGCGCCCUCGAUGAUGAAAGCGAACCUCCGCCACCGCUGUCUCAUGAGAACCUUCUGAUUAAUGAAUUAAUUCGGGAGUAUUUGGAAUUCAAUAAAUAUAAGUAUACAGCAUCUGUCCUCAUGGCAGAAUCUGGUCAACCUGUAGUUCCUUUGGACAGACAAUUUCUUAUCCGUGAACUGAAUGCGUUUGAAGAAUCAAAGGAUGAUUCAAUACCUCUUUUAUACAGGAUUUUAGCUCAUUUGUUGCAUGGAACUAAGGAGGACGUCCCAAAUACAUUUCUAAAAGGGUCUUCACUUCAGCCUUCAGACCCAGAGCUUGGCAGACAACCUAGUGGAAGGAAGAAAAUGGGGGAGAAAACCGCCACUAAGUUUUGGUGACUCAUCGAAAGCCUGCAGCUGACCAUUUUUAGCAGAAUCAGCACCUUCGAUCGCCAUUCCUCUACACUUCCUCCAUAGCUUACAAACUAUUGAGAAGUUUCCCUAGUUCUCUUUCCAGGGAUUGACGGCCUCGGAAGAAAGGGGAAGGGGACAAGCGCUGACAUCGAAGAGCCUCCUGUGUCUCCAGCCGUGAAGCGAUGACGUUUCCAUUGGGGCAUCUUUUAUCUUAAAAUUACCGUUUUGGCUCUUCUCCUGGAAGAUUUAAUUAAAACGUAGAGAGGGAAAUAAUUCUUUUAAUUUUACUGUAAGUAAAACAAAGAGUUUAUUUUAUCGUGAAGAAUGUGGGAUAAGCAUGAAGAGACAGGCUUUAGGCGAAAUACCAGAAAGCACCUUUUCAAAGAUGGCAUUGUCUAAGCCUCACGUGGCCGCCCAUCGGGCACUUACAGCACGAGCUGCACAGGGCCCACCCCUGCUUAUUUGGGCUCCGAAAGUCUUAUUAAACGUCCAUUUUUAUUCUUCGGAUAGAACAAUAUUAAGUGCUCUCUCUCUCAAAUGCUGCUUUGAUAUUUAUUAAGACAUUUUUAUAAUGUGGAGUCUACAGGCUGAUGUCACUGAAGACCACUGACUGUCACAGAAGACGGCGCCCGAUGGCCGGAAGUCACAGGGUAGACUGAGAACGAAGCUUGGGCCCCCCGAGCACCACAGCAUUCAGCCUAAAUGUUUCCACGGGCACGUGGGCAGGGCUGUAGUUGUAAAAUGAGCAUUCUCGUCAGGGUGUUGCCUUUGGAAAUGAGUGAAACUCCUGACUGUAUGUUUGUGCUAGUCAGUGUUCAGUCUUUAAAGAUUAACCAAGGAUUUUUAUCUGAAUGCAGAACAUUAUUAAAUAAGUCCCCUUAAACCAUACUUUACAAGUCAGAGGAUUUUGAGAGGCCCUGUUGGGGGGCGUAAAUGACAUGGUAGCCGUAGAAGCAUUAUAAGGGCUCAUUUGCAUCUUUUAGUGAAGUCUGCAGUAGCUGACUGCACUUCUGAAUUUCACUGUAUGGCACGUGGGAACCUGAAGAUCUGAAUUCUCAGAGAUCUCGGCUUGCGUGCAAGGAUGUCGGCAGUGGGCACUGUGUUUCCCUCAGGAACUGCAAUCCUGCAGGACUUGAUUAAGAAAAGGUGCUGGAGUUUGUCAUUUUGGACACUGACAUAGAAUCCUCAAAAUAGGAGCUAAACAGAAUUGUCCCCUGUAGUCCAUAGUGCUUUUGCAUGCGUUAUGCUGUACCUUGUUCGUACCCGGGCAACUUUUAUACCUUCAAUGUAUCAUUUAAUAAAAAAGCAUUUAGGCAACUCA